UUAGUGAUCAAGGCGGCAAGGCCCCUUG
rnacentral:piRNA from 1 species